rnacentral:rRNA from 1 species
UACGAAGGGGGCAAGCGUUGUUCGGAAUUACUGGGCGUAAAGGGCGCGUAGGCGGUGCGCUAAGUCAGAUGUGAAAGCCCUGGGCUUAACCCGGGAACUGCAUUUGAUACUGGCGCGCUCGAAUCCGGGAGAGGUUGGUGGAAUUCCCAGUGUAGAGGUGAAAUUCGUAGAGAUUGGGAAGAACACCGGUGGCGAAGGCGGCCAACUGGACCGGUAUUGACGCUCAGGCACGACAGCGUGGGGAUCAAACAGG